rnacentral:rRNA from 1 species
GACGAACGCUGGCGGCGUGCUUAACACAUGCAAGUCGAACGGAAAGGCCCUGCUUUUGUGGGGUGCUCGAGUGGCGAACGGGUGAGUAACACGUGAGUAACCUGCCCUUGACUUUGGGAUAACUUCAGGAAACUGGGGCUAAUACCGGAUAGGAGCUCCUGCUGCAUGGUGGGGGUUGGACAGUUUCGGCGGUUGGGGAUGGACUCGCGGCUUAUCAGCUUGUUGGUGGGGUAGUGGCUUACCAAGGCUUUGACGGGUAGCCGGCCUGAGAGGGUGACCGGCCACAUUGGGACUGAGAUACGGCCCAGACUCCUACGGGAGGCAGCAGUGGAGAAUAUUGCACAAUGGGCGGAAGCCUGAUGCAGCAACGCCGCGUGCGGGAUGACGGCCUUCGGGUUGUAAACCGCUUUCGCCUGUGACGAAGCGUGAGUGACGGUAAUGGGUAAAGAAGCACCGGCUAACUACGUG